rnacentral:rRNA from 1 species
AGUGAACGCUGGCGGUAGGCCUAACACAUGCAAGUCGAACGGCAGCACAGUAAGAGCUUGCUCUUACGGGUGGUGAGUGGCGGACGGGUGAGGAAUACAUCGGAAUCUACUUUUUCGUGGGGGAUAACGUAGGGAAACUUACGCUAAUACCGCAUACGACCUACGGGUGAAAGCAGGGGAUCUUCGGACCUUGCGCGAUUGAAUGAGCCGAUGUCGGAUUAGCUAGUUGGCGGGGUAAAGGCCCACCAAGGCGACGAUCCGUAGCUGGUCUGAGAGGAUGAUCAGCCACACUGGAACUGAGACACGGUCCAGACUCCUACGGGAGGCAGCAGUGGGGAAUAUUGGACAAUGGGCGCAAGCCUGAUCCAGCCAUACCGCGUGGGUGAAGAAGGCCUUCGGGUUGUAAAGCCCUUUUGUUGGGAAAGAAAAGCAGCAGGUUAAUACCCCGCUGUUCUGACGGUACCAAAAGAAUAAGCACCGGCUAACUUCGUG